rnacentral:rRNA from 1 species
UACGAAGGGGGCUAGCGUUACUCGGAAUUACUGGGCGUAAAGGGCGCGUAGGCGGAUACUUAAGUUAGAGGUGAAAGCCCAGGGCUCAACCCUGGAAUAGCCUUUAAUACUGGGUAUCUUGAGUUCGGGAGAGGUGAGUGGAAUGCCGAGUGUAGAGGUGAAAUUCGUAGAUAUUCGGCGGAACACCAGUGGCGAAGGCGACUCACUGGCCCGAUACUGACGCUGAGGCGCGAAAGCGUGGGGAGCAAACAGG